GUGCCAGCAGCCGCGGUAAUACGUAGGUGGCAAGCGUUGUCCGGAUUUAUUGGGUUUAAAGGGUGCGUAGGUGGUCUUGUAAGUCAGUGGUGAAAUACGGCAGCUCAACUGUCGAGGUGCCAUUGAUACUGCAAGACUUGAGUACAGACGAGGUAGGCGGAAUUGACGGUGUAGCGGUGAAAUGCUUAGAUAUCGUCAAGAACACCGAUAGCGAAGGCAGCUUACUAGACUGUAACUGACACUGAGGCACGAAAGUGUGGGGAUCAAACAGGAUUAGAAACCCGAGUAGUCC
rnacentral:rRNA from 1 species